ensembl:lncRNA
CACACACACAUCAAUGGCUCUGAUGCACUAUUUACACUGUUUACACUGAUGGACCAUUUACACUGUUACUGUGGAGACAGGGAGGAAGGGAGACAGGGAGACAGGGAGGAAGGGAGGAAGGGAGACAGGGAGACAGGGAGGAAGGGAGACAGGGAGGAAGGGAGGCAGGGAGGCAGGGAGACAGGAAUACAGGGAGGCAGGGAUACAGGGAGACAGGGACACAGGGAUACAGGGAGGCAGGGAUACAGGGAGGAAGGGAGACAGGGAAGAAGGGAGGAAGGAGACAGGGAGGAAGGGAGGAAGGGAGACAGGGAGACAGGGAGGAAGGGAGGCAGGGAGGCAUGGAGACAGGGAGACAGAGAUACAGGGAGACAGGGAGGAAGGGAGACAGGGAGACAGGGAGGAAGGGAGGAAGGGAGACAGGGAGGCAGGGAGACAGGGAGACAGAGAGGCAGGGAGACAGGGAGACAGGGAGACAGGAGACAGAGAUACAGGGAGGCAGGGAGACAGGGAGACAGGGAGACAGGGAGGAAGGGAGACAGGGAGACAGGGAGGAAGGGAGACAGGGAGGAAGGGAGACAGGGAGACAGGGAGGAAGGAGACAGGGAGACAGGGAGGAAGGGAGACAGGGAGACAGGGAGACAGAGAUACAGGGAGGCAUGGAGACAGGGAGGAAGGAGACAGGGAUACAGGGAGACAGGGAUACAGGGAGGCUGGGAGGAAGGGAGGAUACAGGGAGGCAGGGAGGAAGGGAGGAAGGGAGACAGGGAGGAAGGGAGACAGGGAGACAGGGAGGAAGGAGGAAGGAGACAGGGAGACAGGGAGACAGGGAGGAAGGGAGG